AGAGUUUGAUUAUGGCUCAGGAUGAACGCUGGCGGCGUGCCUAACACAUGCAAGUCGAGCGAAGCGCUUUACUUCAAUUCUUUCGGGAAGAGGAGUGAAAUGACUGAGCGGCGGACGGGUGAGUAACGCGUGGGUAACCUGCCUCAUACAGGGGGAUAACAGUUAGAAAUGACUGCUAAUACCGCAUAAGCGCACAGGACCGCAUGGUCAAGUGUGAAAAACUCCGGUGGUAUGAGAUGGACCCGCGUCUGAUUAGUUAGUUGGUGGGGUAACGGCCCACCAAGGCGACGAUCAGUAGCCGGCCUGAGAGGGUGAACGGCCACAUUGGGACUGAGACACGGCCCAAACUCCUACGGGAGGCAGCAGUGGGGGAUAUUGCACAAUGGGGGAAACCCUGAUGCAGCGACGCCGCGUGAGCGAUGAAGUAUUUCGGUAUGUAAAGCUCUAUCAGCAGGGAAGAAAAUGACGGUACCUGACUAAGAAGCCCCGGCUAACUACGUGCCAGCAGCCGCGGUAAUACGUAAGGGGCAAGCGUUAUCCAGAUUUACUGGGUGUA
rnacentral:rRNA from 1 species